CAUGCAAGUCGAGCGGACAGAAGGGAGCUUGCUCCCGGAUGUUAGCGGCGGACGGGUGAGUAACACGUGGGUAACCUGCCUGUAAGACUGGGAUAACUCCGGGAAACCGGAGCUAAUACCGGAUAGUUCCUUGAACCGCAUGGUUCAAGGAUGAAAGACGGUUUCGGCUGUCACUUACAGAUGGACCCGCGGCGCAUUAGCUAGUUGGUGGGGUAAUGGCUCACCAAGGCGACGAUGCGUAGCCGACCUGAGAGGGUGAUCGGCCACACUGGGACUGAGACACGGCCCAGACUCCUACGGGAGGCAGCAGUAGGGAAUCUUCCGCAAUGGACGAAAGUCUGACGGAGCAACGCCGCGUGAGUGAUGAAGGUUUUCGGAUCGUAAAGCUCUGUUGUUAGGGAAGAACAAGUGCGAGAGUAACUGCUCGCACCUUGACGGUACCUAACCAGAAAGCCACGGCUAACUACGUGCCAGCAGCCGCGGUAAUACGUAGGUGGCAAGCGUUGUCCGGAAUUAUUGGGCGUAAAGGGCUCGCAGGCGGUUUCUUAAGUCUGAUGUGAAAGCCCCCGGCUCAACCGGGGAGGGUCAUUGGAAACUGGGAAACUUGAGUGCAGAAGAGGAGAGUGGAAUUCCACGUGUAGCGGUGAAAUGCGUAGAGAUGUGGAGGAACACCAGUGGCGAAGGCGACUCUCUGGUCUGUAACUGACGCUGAGGAGCGAAAGCGUGGGGAGCGAACAGGAUUAGAUACCCUGGUAGUCCACGCCGUAAACGAUGAGUGCUAACUGUUAGGGGGUUUCCGCCCCUUAGUGCUGCAGCUAACGCAUUAAGCACUCCGCCUGGGGAGUACGGUCGCAAGACUGAAACUCAAAGGAAUUGACGGGGGCCCGCACAAGCGGUGGAGCAUGUGGUUUAAUUCGAAGCAACGCGAAGAACCUUACCAGGUCUUGACAUCCUCUGACAACCCUAGAGAUAGGGCUUUCCCUUCGGGGACAGAGUGACAGGUGGUGCAUGGUUGUCGUCAGCUCGUGUCGUGAGAUGUUGGGUUAAGUCCCGCAACGAGCGCAACCCUUGAUCUUAGUUGCCAGCAUUCAGUUGGGCA
rnacentral:rRNA from 1 species